rnacentral:lncRNA from 1 species
GUAAGGCAUAAUUAAAAGGUUAUGGCGCUGUAAAGGUCUUUUGGUAAUGUCUUGGCGCACUAUUAAUUACUUUCUUUUAGGUAGUUCUCUGUUCAACAAGUAUUUCCAAGGAUGCGGUAUAUCCUGCGCUGGGUGGUUAUUAAGCGGUUUUUCGUCUCUCCUACUAGCGUAUAUUUCCAUCGCUUCUGCGAGGAUGGCAUGUUUGCUCUUCUUUACGGGCCUAACUAUUUUUGCCGCCUACCAAUCUAUUGACAAAUCACAUUUGUAGGUUGCUGUUGCCAAGGCUGUUGUGGUCCUUCCUCUUUCUAGGUCUCUUUUAUGCUCUUUAAGGCACUGACUAAGUGCUCUAGCAGUG